AGAGCGCACGGAGGAUGCCUUGGCACUAGGAGCCGAAGAAGGACGUGACAAACGACGAAACGCUACGGGGAGCUGUAAGUAAGCAAAGAUCCGUAGAUAUCCGAAUGGGGGAACCCACCGCUUUUAAAAGGGCGGUACGCGAAAGCGAGGUAACGCAGGGAACUGAAACAUCUAAGUACCUGUAGGAAGAGAAAGAAAAAUCGAUUUCCUAAGUAGCGGCGAGCGAAAGGGAAAGAGCCCAAACCAAUGUGCUUGCAUAUUGGGGUUGUAGGACUCUCAGAAAAACGUAUGACAAAGUAUAGUAGAACGAGCUGGAAAGUUAGACCGUAGAAGGUAAAAGUCCUGUAUACGAAAUGCUAAGUUGGCGUGAGAGAGCACCUGAGUACGGCGGAACACGAGGAAUUCCGUCGGAAUCUACCAGGACCAUCUGGUAAGGCUAAAUACUACCUAGUGACCGAUAGUGAACCAGUACCGUGAGGGAAAGGUGAAAAGAACCCCGGGAGGGGAGUGAAAGAGAACCUGAAACCGUGUGCUUACAAGUAGUCAGAGCCCUUUAGGGGGUGAUGGCGUGCCUUUUGUAGAAUGAACCGGCGAGUUACUUUAUCAUGCGAGGUUAAGUGGAAGACAUGGAGCCGAAGCGAAAGCGAGUCUUAAUAGGGCGAAAUAGUAUGAUGGAGUAGACCCGAAACCAAGUGAUCUACCCAUGGCCAGGUUGAAGUUUAGGUAACACUGAAUGGAGGACCGAACCAGGACACGUUGAAAAGUGUUUGGAUGAGCUGUGGGUAGCGGAGAAAUUCCAAUCGAACUUGGAAAUAGCUGGUUCUCUCCGAAAUAGCUUUAGGGCUAGCCUCGUUGUGAGUUUACUGGAGGUAGAGCACUGUUUGGACUAGGGGCCCAUCCCGGGUUACCGAAUUCAGACAAACUCCGAAUGCCAGAUAAAUAUCAACGGGAGUCAGACUGCGGGUGAUAAGGUUCGUAGUCGAAAGGGAAACAGCCCAGACCGCCAGCUAAGGUCCCAAAUUGUAUGUUAAGUGGAAAAGGAUGUGAUGAUGCACAGACAACCAGGAUGUUGGCUUAGAAGCAGCCACCAUUUAAAGAGUGCGUAAUAGCUCACUGGUCGAGUGACAUCGCGCCGAAAAUGUACCGGGGCUAAACAUACAACCGAAGCUGCGGAUAUAACUAAUGUUAUAUGGUAGGAGAGCGUUCUAACAUCAUAGAAGCCGAACUGGAAGGUGAGGUGGAGAGGUUAGAAGUGAGAAUGCCGGUGUGAGUAGCGAAAGAUAGGUGAGAAUCCUAUCCACCGAAAGACUAAGGUUUCCAGAGGAAGGCUCGUCCGCUCUGGGUAAGUCGGGACCUAAGGUGAAGCCGAUAGGUGAAGCCGAUGGACAACAGGUAGAAAUUCCUGUACCACCGAAUAUCGAUUGAGAGAAGUGGGGACAGAGGAGGCUAAUUGAUCGCCCUGAUGGAAUAGGGCGUCUAAGCACAAAGACUGACAAGUAGGCAAAUCCGCUUGUUUAAAGGUUGAAGUGUGAUGGGGAGCGAAAUAUAGUAGCGAAGUCAAUGAAGCCAAACUCUCAAGAAAAGCCGCUAUCGAGAUAAGAGGUGCCCGUACCGCAAACCGACACAGGUAGUUGGGAAGAGAAUUCUAAGGUGAGCGAGAGAACCAUCGUUAAGGAACUCGGCAAAAUGACCCCGUAACUUCGGGAGAAGGGGUGCCUACGAGAGUAGGCCGCAGUGAAUAGGCCCAAGCGACUGUUUAUCAAAAACACAGGUCUCUGCAAAACCGAAAGGUGAAGUAUAGGGGCUGACGCCUGCCCGGUGCUGGAAGGUUAAGAGGAGUGCUUAGCGCAAGCGAAGGUAUGAAUUGAAGCCCCAGUAAACGGCGGCCGUAACUAUAACGGUCCUAAGGUAGCGAAAUUCCUUGUCGGGUAAGUUCCGACCCGCACGAAAGGCGUAACGAUUUGGGCACUGUCUCAACGAUGGACUCGGUGAAAUCAUAGUACCUGUGAAGAUGCAGGUUACCCGCGACAGGACGGAAAGACCCCAUGGAGCUUUACUGUAGCUUGAUAUUGAAUUUUGAUGCAGUAUGUACAGGAUAGGUAGGAGCCUAAGAAUCAUGCACGCCAGUGUAUGAGGAGGCGUUGUUGGGAUACUACCCUUGCUGUAUUGAAAUUCUAACCCUCGGCAUAGAAAACCGGGAGACAGUGUCAGGUGGGCAGUUUGACUGGGGCGGUCGCCUCCUAAAGAGUAACGGAGGCGUUCA
rnacentral:rRNA from 1 species